AUACCCAAAUUGAAGUAUCAGAGGCUGCUGGAAGGGAGGUCGUUUUGUGGUUUAUGGAGGAAUGAACAAAUGAUAUUGUAAAGCAGGUAUGCUCUUAGAUGGACUCCAUUACUGUUAAUUGAGGAAGAGAGAAUGGGCAAACCAAAAUCUGCUCCUAAGCCCAACAAUAAAGUCAAAGCCUAUAAAAAGACAUAUUACUAAUUUAAGAUAGGGCCCACCUACUUGUGGCCGAAAAUGGGCAAAGAAAAAGAGGGGUUUGUGUCACUGGUAUUUUAAAGGUCUAAUAUCAGCUCAAUUUCCUUCACAAAAAAAAUAAAAAAUAAUGUAAUUAGAAUUCUCAUACGCUCUCUCUCUCUCAGAGCAUCAUAUAAUAGCAGCCCCAAAAUUUGUACUAUUAGGGUUCUUGGGAUUCCCUCUCUUUCCAAGUUAAAAGGACAACCCUCUUCAAGCUUGGCAGUUCCACCUUAUGAACUAGACUUGAUUUGGAGUGGACGAACGAAAUGGUUAGAUUAGUAAAAGAAGUAAAAAGUUGGUUUCUUUUUUGAAGCCUCAUCUGUUGCUGUCUGUGGCCUGAACGCAAAUGUAAUAAUUAUAUUUACUAAAAAAAUUAUCCCAACACAAUUUUCAGCCGUCGGAUCAAGAUACGUGCAAUCGCAUGGAUUUUACAUCUGCUCUAUCUCAAGAAUUUACAUCUGCUCUAUCUCAAGAAAAGCCAGUUAACAAUUUCCAUUUUCCUCAAACCCUAACUGCAAUAUCCACUUGCAGUAUCGGGUAUGGCAGCCUUGUUGUACUACCUAGACGAAUGGCCUUCUCAUUUAGUACAAAUAGCUUCUACUUUAAGAAGAAGGAGAGGAAACAUUACAAACGUGCAUUGGUCAAGGCAAAUCGAAAGGAGUCUCCUUAUGAAGUUUUAGGUGUUUCUUCAUCGGCGUCUGCUGACGAAAUCAAAAGGGCCUAUCGCAAACUUGCUCUCAAGUAUCAUCCUGAUGUUAACAAAGAGCACAAUGCUCAAGAAAAGUUUAUGAGGAUUAAGCAUGCAUACAGCACACUAUUGAACUCCAAAACCAGGAAGAGAUAUGAUUCAACAAGUGACACAUCAAGUUAUUCAUAUUAUAGCGGAGCAGAACAAAAUAGAAGUACUGCAGACGAAGAAUACUUCUAUGGCUUUGCAGACUUCUUUAAGGAUCUCCAAGAAGAAUUCCGGAAUUGGGAGGCAAAUGUUGCUUCUGCAGGAAAACCAAAGAGUUUGUGGGAAGAAUUGGCGGAAAUCGGAGAAGAAUUUGUAGAGUUUUUAGAGAAGGAGCUUAAGAUAACCAACGCAGAGGUAAAAGAAGAAAGCAACAAUGUGAGGCCCCAGAAGGGCAAUGAACAAGCUGGAACAAGUGGACCUGAUAAUGCAAAACAAAAGAGGACGGAUACAAAUAGCAGUAUUGAGGAAAAUAUUAAUGAGAUUGAAGCAGCCCUUGCCCAAUUGAAAAAGGAAUUAGGUCUCUGAUGGCAUUGAAUUGAUACUCCUUGCAAAGAAGAGCACUGAUAUACUGAACAACAUCGUUUUGGUUGUCCCUGGCUGCAAACUAAAAUGGUUCACCCAAUUUGGUUAUAAUUUUGACAUUUUUGUGGUCGCCAAAGGCAGUCCUUGAGAACAGAUGAUGAUGAUGAUUGUCGUGCGUGGAGUGGAGCGCAGCCUGCAAGUUAACUCGCUGGAAAGUAAAAGCUUCAAAUGAGAUUCCAGAGUAUUAUUCCUGGCAGACUUAGAAGUUGGUCAUGGAGAUGACAAGUUGAGAAACUGCAGUGUCCAAUGAUGGCUACUCUGAUUCUAUUUGGAUACAAAUAGUACAGAAAAUCUCCUAACGCAAUAUUUGUGUUAAGGCCAUUUACCGUCUACUGAAUUAAAUCCCACAAGAUCGAAGCUGGAUCUUUUGCCCUUUUAGGUCCGUGGCUAUAACUAAGAUGUCAAAUUUACUGGACAAAAUGUAAACUGUCCAGUUUUUUAAUAUGCUAGGAACAUCUGUAUACUAUUGAUAUCGGCUACUAGCACCAGAGACAACUAGCAGUGUGUGUGUAUAUUUAUUCGGUAUUGCGUGAAAAGGUACCAUAUUUAUUCUGCUUGUAAUGCCCAAAAGCACCUGAGGUGUGCUAAACAUACUUUAUCAAGGCUGGUACGUUAGAACCGCGUCCAGUAAA